rnacentral:lncRNA from 1 species
AUGCAUGCUUUUGUGGCAUUUGGCUACUCCCAAUAUUUCUCUCCUCCCUUGCUACCAACACAGCUACUGGGAGAUGCAGGAGGGAGGGUGAAGGCGGGAGCCAGGACAUGGCCAAGCAGGGAGACGACAGCCGAGGCACAACACGGUGACCUCCUGCCCCGGGGCCGUCAGGAGGUGCUGCAAGAGGGCUGCGGGCUGCGCCGGGGCUUGUGCGUGGAGGCAGAAACCGGGGUGAGAAAAGCACAGGGAGACACAGCCCCGCUUCACAUCCUCCUUCCUUCGGGACGCGAGGGGACCGUGGGUGCGAGGGUGUGCAGGGCCGGCUGUCUCGUCCCCGGACGCUCAGUCCCGGCAGAAAACGUACUCGGUGUAGCUGGUCCAGAUCUUGUCAUCGGCGGGGCCGCCCUGCUCGGGGGCGAAGGCGCAGGUGCCGGUGGAGGAGCAGGCGGCCAUGCGGAAGCCGGCCUCGGAGAGCCGGUCGAAGGCUUGCUCGAGGAAGUUGAACUUGAGGUAGUAGCGAGCGGUGUAGCGCUCGGGAGGGCGGUCGGGGUCGCGGCUCUCGUUCAAGGUCUCCCCGAAGACCUCUUUGGCCAGGGCCGUCUUGCCGCAGACGGUGAUGCGAGCCACCCGCCGGAAUUUGGCAUCGGCCUGCGCCUCCCGCCCGAUGGUGUAGGAGCCCCGGUAGCCGAUGGUGAUGUAGCCCGAGCGCCGCCCGCCCGCCCCGUCCAGCGACUGCGAGGGCGUGAGCAGCGGCCCGCCCGAGGGGCUGCGGCUGGCCGUGGGCGACGGGGCGGACGCCACGGCCCCGCCGCCGCCUUCCAGCGGCUCGGCCUCCAGGUACCCGAGCAGCGGCGGCGGCGGCUCUUCGGCGCAGAUGGAGCCGUCGCGGUGCAGGACGGCGGGGCGGGCGGCGACCGCCCGAGUCUGCGCCAGGCGCCGAGCCAGGUCGGGCAGCUGGAAGUACUCAGCCUCCCGCUGGAGGCGGCUGCGCUCGGGGAAGUGCUCGGGCAGCACCAGCUGCAGGUCCCGCAGGUAGUCCAGGAUGUAGCGGAAGAGGAAGCCGUCGCGGUCGAGGAAGAAGCGACCCUUGCUGUCCCGGGGCAGCUCGCUGGGCUGCUGCUGCGAGAACAUGCGCCAGAGCAGCGAGUCGCGCACCGAGACCACGGUGCAGCGCCGCGUCACGUACACCUGCCCGCCCACGUUCAGCUCCACGAUCUCCGGGAAGGAAGCCCAGCCGCCCGUCGCCGCCGCGGCCGCCCCGCUGCCCGGCGCCCCGCUCCCCGCCGCGGGCGACACGCCGCCGCCGUUGGGCAGCCCGCGGGCGCUGUCCGCCAGGGCCAUACCGGAGCGAGCCUGCCGGAGCCCACGCCCUUCCUCCUCUUCCUCCGGCCGCCUGGGCUACGGCAGGGCCGCCGCCCUCGGGGGAGCGCGCAGCCCUCCGCUGCUGCCCGCCGCAGCCUCCCGCCCCGUCUGGCGCCGGAGCCGCGCUGCCGCUGCGCUCCCCGCGGCCGCGCCUCUGCCCGCUGCCGGACAAACUCUCCGUCGGGCUGCGAACGGAGAGCCCCGGCACCGGCGGCACGGCCGUGUUUAUGUAGCGCGGCCGCACCUCGCGGGAGGCGUGGGAGGCUGGCGGGAGGCAGAGCCGAGCGCACGGGGAGGAGAAGGGGACGGCCCUGCACUGACGCAGGGUCCCCCGUCGUCGUCCGUCCCCCGUUCCCCCCCUCCUUUCCCGGUCCUCCUUCCCCGGUUGCUCGGGGAGCCUCUCCCUGCCCGGGCUCCCGUCGCCGUGGGCGAGCACAGCGGUGCCUGUCCGGCAGGGAUAAAGCCUUGGGGGUCCCGCCUCUCCCCUGCCUCCCCUGUCCCCCUGAGCGAGGCUCCGGCUCCGGCUCGCUCCUCGGCUUCUCCGAGACGUCUCGUUUUCCGCAGGCAGGACGAGCCCCCUGUUUGCCCCGAAGUGCAGGAGCGGGCAAGCGGCGGGACGCUGCUGCUCUGCCGAAGGCGCUGUGCACCCCUGCUAUCCUCCUAGGGCUUGUCACAACCCUCUCCAAAUGA